GUGAGGAAUUUUGCGCAAUGGGGGCAACCCUGACGCAGCGACGCCGCGUGGAGGACGAAGUCUUUCGGGAUGUAAACUCCUGUCAGUGGGGACGAUAAUGACGGUACCCACAGAGGAAGCACCGGCUAACUCCGUGCCAGCAGCCGCGGUAAGACGGAGGGUGCAAGCGUUGUUCGGAAUUACUGGGCGUAAAGCGUAUGUAGGCGGCAAGUUAAGUUCAAUGUUAAAGCCCACGGCUCAACCGAGGAGAUGCAUUGAAUACUGGCUAGCUAGAGGGUGUUAGAGGAAGACGGAAUUCCCAGUGUAGCGGUGAAAUGCGUAGAUAUUGGGAGGAACAUCGGUAGCGAAAGCGGUCUUCUGGGACAUACCUGACGCUGAGGUACGAAAGCGUGGGGAGCAAACGGGAUUAGAUACCCUAGUAGUCC
rnacentral:rRNA from 1 species